GCACAAGCGGCGGAGCAUGUGGCUUAAUUCAAUGCAACGCGAGGAACCUUACCAGGGCUUGACAUGUAGGGAAAAGCCAUGGAAACAUGGUGUGCCGAAAGGCGUCCUGCACAGGUGGUGCAUGGCUGUCGUCAGCUCGUGUCGUGAGAUGUUGGGUUAAGUCCCGCAACGAGCGCAACCCUCAUCCUAUGUUGCCAGCAUUAAGUUGGGGACUCAUAGGAAACUGCCUCGGUUAACGGGGAGGAAGGUGGGGAUGACGUCAAGUCAUCAUGCCCUUUAUGUCCUGGGCUGCACACGUGCUACAAUGGCCGGUACAAUAGGCUGCGAAGGGGCAACCCGGAGCGAAUCCAUUAAAACCGGUCCCAGUUCGGAUUGAAGGCUGUAACUCGCCUUCAUGAAGUUGGAGUCGCUAGUAAUCGCGGAUCAGCAACGCCGCGGUGAAUACGUUCCCGGGCCUU
rnacentral:rRNA from 1 species